CUUGGUGGCAAUGCCGCGGUGGAACGACCCGAUCCCAUUCCGAACUCGGCCGUCAAACGCCGCAGGGCCGAUGGUAGUGCAGGUAUAGCCUGCGCGAGAGUAGGUCGCCGCCAAGC
rnacentral:rRNA from 1 species